AGGGUAUUAUAAUGACAGUAGAUGGUAGACCAGGGUAAUAUAAUGACAGUAGAUGGCAGACCAGGGUAAUAUAAUGACAGUAGAGUUUAGACCAGGGUAAUGUAAUGACAGGGGAUGGUAGACCAGGGUAAUAUAAUGACAGUAGAUGGUAGAAUAGGGUAAUAUAAUGACAGUAGAGUUUAGACCAAGGUAAUAUAAUAACAGGGGAUGGUAGACCAGGGUAAUAUAAUGACAGUAGAUGGUAGACCAGGGUAAUAUAAUGACAGUAGACGGUAGACCAGGGUAAUAUAAUGACAGGGGAUGGUAGACCAGGGUAAUAUAAUGACAGUAGAUGGCAGACCAGGG
ensembl:lncRNA